GAUACUGGCUCAGAACGAACGCUGGCGGCAGGUCUUAGGCAUGCAAGUCGAACGGAUGACAAGGGAGCUUGCCUCCUUGAAGUCAGUGGCGCACGAGUGAGUAACGCGUGGGAAACUGCCCUUCACUGGGGAAUAACGUUUGGAAACGAACGCUAAUACCGCAUACGCCCGCAAGGGGAAAGAUUUAUCGGUGAUGGAUGUGCCCGCGUUGGAUUAGCUAGUUGGUGGGGUAAUGGCCUACCAAGGCGAUGAUCCAUAGCUGGUCUGAGAGGACGAUCAGCCACGCUGGAACUGAGACACGGUCCAGACUCCUACGGGAGGCAGCAGCUAAGAAUAUUGGGCAAUGGAGGAAACUCUGACCCAGCCAUGCCGCGUGAAUGAAGAAGGCCUUCGGGUUGUAAAGUUCUUUUAGUCAUGAAGAUGAUGACAGUAGUGACAGAAAAAGCACCGGCUAACUUCGUGCCAGCAGCAGC
rnacentral:rRNA from 1 species